rnacentral:rRNA from 1 species
UACGUAGGGGGCAAGCGUUGUCCGGAAUUAUUGGGCGUAAAGCGCGCGCAGGCGGCUUUGUAAGUUUGGUGUUUAAUCUCAGAGCUCAACUCUGAUUCGCAUCGAAAACUGCAAGGCUUGAGUACAGAAGAGGAAAGUGGAAUUCCACGUGUAGCGGUGAAAUGCGUAGGAGAUGUGGAGGAACACCAGUGGCGAAGGCGACUUUCUGGGCUGUAACUGACGCUGAGGCGCGAAAGCGUGGGGAGCAAACAGG